AGAACGCUGAAGCUUGGUGCUUGCACCGAGCGGAUGAGUUGCGAACGGGUGAGUAACGCGUAGGUAACCUGCCUCUUAGCGGGGGAUAACCAUUGGAAACGAUAGCUAAUACCGCAUAAAAGUCGACAUUGCAUGAUGUUGACUUGAAAGGUGCAAUUGCAUCACUAAGAGAUGGACCUGCGUUGUAUUAGCUAGUUGGUGAGGUAACGGCUCACCAAGGCGACGAUACAUAGCCGGCCUGAGAGGGUGAUCGGCCACACUGGGACUGAGACACGGCCCAGACUCCUACGGGAGGCAGCAGUAGGGAAUCUUAGGCAAUGGGGGCAACCCUGACCGAGCAACGCCGCGUGAGUGAAGAAGGUUUUCGGAUCGUAAAGCUCUGUUGUAAGAGAAGAACGAGUGUGAGAGUGGAAGGUUCACACUGUGACGGUAACUUACCAGAAAGGGACGGCUAACUACGUGCCAGCAGCCGCGGUAAUACGUAGGUCCCGAGCGUUAUCCGGAUUUAUUGGGCGUAAAGCGAGCGCAGGCGGUUAGAUAAGUCUGAAGUUAAAGGCUGUGGCUUAACCAUAGUACGCUUUGGAAACUGUUUAACUUGAGUGCAGAAGGGGAGAGUGGAAUUCCAUGUGUAGCGGUGAAAUGCGUAGAUAUAUGGAGGAACACCGGUGGCGAAAGCGGCU
rnacentral:rRNA from 1 species